AACGAACGCUGGCGGCAUGCCUAACACAUGCAAGUCGAACGAGACCUUCGGAUCUAGUGGCGCACGGGUGCGUAACGCGUGGGAACCUGCCCUUAGGUUCGGAAUAACUCCCCGAAAGGGGUGCUAAUACCGGAUAAUGUCUUCGGACCAAAGAUUUAUCGCCUUUGGAUGGGCCCGCGUUGGAUUCGCUGGUUGGUAGGGUAAAAGCCUACCAAGGCGACGAUCCAUAGCUGGUCUGAGAGGAUGAUCAGCCACACUGGGACUGAGACACGGCCCAGACUCCUACGGGAGGCAGCAGUGGGGAAUAUUGGACAAUGGGCGAAAGCCUGAUCCAGCAAUGCCGCGUGAGUGAUGAAGGCCUUAGGGUUGUAAAGCUCUUUUACCCGGGAUGAUAAUGACAGUACCGGGAGAAUAAGCCCCGGCUAACUCCGUG
rnacentral:rRNA from 1 species